rnacentral:rRNA from 1 species
GAUGAACGCUGGCGGCGUGCCUAAUACAUGCAAGUCGAGCGAACGGACGAGACGCUUGUUUCUCUGAUGUUAGCGGCGGACGGGUGAGUAACACGUGGAUCACCUACCUAUAAGACUGGGAUAACCUCGGAAAACCGGAGCUUAUCCCGGAUAAUAUUCUGAACCGCAUGGUUCAAAAGUGAAAGACGGUCUUGCUGUCACUUAUAGCUGGUUCCGCGCUGCAUUAGCUAGUUGGUAAGGUAACGGCGUACCAAGGCGACGAUGCGUAGCCGACCGGAGAGGGUGAUCGGCCACCCUGGAACGUAGACACGGACCAGACUCCUACGGGAGGCAGCAGUAGGGAAUGUUCCGCAAUGGGCGAAAGCCUGACGGAGCAACGCCGCGUGAGUGAUGAAGGUCUUCGGAUCGUAAAACUCUGUUAUGAGGGAAGAACAUAUGUGUAAGUAGCUGUGCACAUCGUGACGGUACCUAAUCAGAAAGCCACGGCUAACUACGUG